rnacentral:rRNA from 1 species
UACGUAGGGGGCAAGCGUUGUCCGGAAUCAUUGGGCGUAAAGAGCGUGUAGGCGGCCCGAUAAGUCCGCUGUGAAAGUCCAGGGCUCAACCCUGGGAUGCCGGUGGAUACUGUCGGGCUCGAGUCCGGAAGAGGAGUGUGGAAUUCCUGGAUGUAGCGGUGAAAUGCGCAGAUAUCAGGAGGAACACCAAUGGCGAAGGCAGCUCGCUGGGACGGUACUGACGCUGAGACGCGAAAGCGUGGGGAGCAAACAGG